UUAUCGUCGACGCAAACAGUUUGACAGUUCUCUUCAGUUGAACUUGUUCGGACUUGAUUGCAAACGAGUCAAACAAAUUGUUGUUGGUUUUAGGCUUUGGGAGGAUUUUGGCCAGUUUAAAGAUUGCGGUCUUCGUGGCAGUAUAGGAGGAAGAGGAGGACGGGAAAUAUGGAUUACUCGGC